rnacentral:rRNA from 1 species
UACGGGGGGGGCAAGCGUUGUUCGGAAUUACUGGGCGUAAAGGGCGCGUAGGCGGCCAUCUAAGUCAGACGUGAAAUCCCUCGGCUCAACCGAGGAACUGCGUCUGAUACUGGAAGGCUUGAAUCCGGGAGAGGGAUGUGGAAUUCCAGGUGUAGCGGUGAAAUGCGUAGAUAUCUGGAGGAACACCUGUGGUGUAGACAGCUUACUGGACCAUUUCUGACGCUGAGACACGAAAGCGUGGGUAGCAAACAGG